rnacentral:rRNA from 1 species
GAUCAUGGCUCAGGAUGAACGCUAGCGACAGGCUUAACACAUGCAAGUCGAGGGGCAGCGGGGGUAGCGAUACCCGCCGGCGACCGGCGCACGGGUGAGUAACGCGUAUGCAACUUGCCUAUCAGAGGGGGAUAACCCGGCGAAAGUCGGACUAAUACCGCAUGAAGCAGGGAUCCCGCAUGGGAAUAUUUGCUAAAGAUUCAUCGCUGAUAGAUAGGCAUGCGUUCCAUUAGGCAGUUGGCGGGGUAACGGCCCACCAAACCGACGAUGGAUAGGGGGUUCUGAGAGGAAGGUCCCCCACAUUGGAACUGAGACACGGUCCAAACUCCUACGGGAGGCAGCAGUGAGGAAUAUUGGUCAAUGGACGCGAGUCUGAACCAGCCAAGUAGCGUGAAGGAUGACUGCCCUAUGGGUUGUAAACUUCUUUUAUAUGGGAAUAAAGUGGUCCACGUGUGGAUUUUUGUAUGUACCAUAUGAAUAAGGAUCGGCUAACUCCGUG